rnacentral:rRNA from 1 species
ACGCUGGCGGCACGCCUAACACAUGCAAGUCGAACGAAGUAGCAAUACUUAGUGGCAGACGGGUGAGUAACAUGUAGGUAUCUGCCCUUUGGCCUGGAAUAACACGAGGAAACUUGUGCUAAUACCGGAUAAGUCUUUACGGAGAAAGCUUUAUGCACCAUUGGAUGAGCCUGCACUUGAUUAGUUUGUUGGUGGGGUAAUGGCCUACCAAGACUGUGAUCAAUAGCUGAUUUGAGAGGAUGAUCAGCCACAUUGGGACUGAGACACGGCCCAAACUCCUACGGGAGGCAGCAGUGGGGAAUCUUGCACAAUGGAGGAAACUCUGAUGCAGCGAUGCCGCGUGAGUGAAGAAGGCCCUUGGGUUGUAAAGCUCUUUCGUCGGGGAAGAAAAUGACUGUACCCGAAUAAGAAGGUCCGGCUAACUUCGUGCCAGCAGCCGCGGUAAUACGAAGGGACCUAGCGUAGUUCGGAAUUACUGGGCUUAAAGAGUUCGUAGGUGGUUGAAAAAGUUAGUGGUGAAAUCCCAGAGCUUAACUCUGGAACUGCCAUUAAAACUUUUCA